rnacentral:rRNA from 1 species
UAGCCUACGGGAGGCAGCAGUAGGGAAUCUUCCACAAUGGACGAAAGUCUGAUGGAGCAACGCCGCGUGAGUGAAGAAGGGUUUCGGCUCGUAAAGCUCUGUUGGUAGUGAAGAAAGAUAGAGGUAGUAACUGGCCUUUAUUUGACGGUAAUUACUUAGAAAGUCACGGCUAACUACGUGCCAGCAGCCGCGGUAAUACGUAGGUGGCAAGCGUUGUCCGGAUUUAUUUGGCGUAAAGCGAGUGUAGGCGGUUCCAUAAGUCUGAUGUGAAAAGCUUUGG